CCUAAUGAAUAUUCUGGAGAUCUUCACUCACAGCGCCGUCGCUUCUGUGACGUCACGGCUACUGUUAAUCCGACGGUUGGAAUUCUCCCAAGCCGGGGACUGUUUAUUGCGCCGAUUCGAAACUCUUUCGUUACAAUACAAAUAAAUAUUG
rnacentral:lncRNA from 1 species